GGAAUAGGUUGCUAUAGUAUUUGGGACGUUACACAGACCUCUGCUUUGCUAGCUGUAAUAUAAUGAUGUCUAAAGGAAACUAGUUUGAUGCCGAUUCUUUCCUUCCACACAGUGGCUCCUACUGCAAAACUCUGAACAAAACACAAUGUACCUACUCUAAACUGUGUGAUGAUUCUUCCAACCACGCACCCAGACAAGUUUAGAUUUCUUUUGAAGUUUAGCUUUCUUUCAUUGCACCUAAACAAGUUGAGCUCUCUUAAAAAGUCAACCAUAUCUCUACUCCACCUCAGGGCCAAUUGCACCAACUGUUCCUACAUAUUUAUGAGGUGUAAAACAAAAGAAGCAGGCCCGGAUCUCACCCCGAGCCAUGGAGAGAAGUUAUAAAACAAACCACAAACUAGCACUGUUUCCUCAACAGCUUUUGAUGCAGAUACCCUGCCAAAGGGUUGGAUAUGGGGAAAUGUGUUUGUGCGAGAGAAUGUGUGAGGGGCGCUUGUGUAUUUCUGUGAACAGGGAAUCGAUUUAUAUACUGUAUGUAGAGAUAAGUGUGCAUGUGUGUGUUUCUGUUUGUGUGUAUCCCUGUGUGUCUGCGUUUGUGUGUGUGUGCGUGCAUUUGUGUGUGUGUGUGUGUGUGUGUGUGUGUGUGUGUGUGUGUGUGUGUGUGUGUGUGUGUGUGUGUGUGUGUGUGUGUGUGUGUGUGUGUGUGUGUGUGUGUGUAGGCUGGCUGGAGGGCAGCGGAAACCAUGCAACAGAAAACUUUUAAAGUGCUUUGCAAUGGAAAACAAAUAAGUUGUGUUUCUUAUUGCACAAGUUCAGGUAAUUCCUCCCUGUUUCUCUGUUUCAGGACAUUUUCAUCCAUUUAUUGCCUGCUCAAAAGCACCCAGGUUGAGAGGUUGAAGACAUAGUGAGAGGUGAGAGGAGGAUAAGAGGAUGAAAGGAACAGAGCAGAAAAAGAGAAAAGAAAACACAGAUGGUGACCCCAGCUAGGAGUGAAAGAGCAGUGAGAUUUCCCAGGUCUUACCUUCCUUUCAUCCUUCUUCCAAACCAAGUAACUCGCCCGGAUGUCGUAGCACUUGGUCCCCUUCUUGAUUCUGCUCCGGAUCUGAGCCCUAGGACCAUGCCUCAGGACUACCUGGCCUGAUGACUCCUUGCUGUCCCCAGUCCACCUGUUUGUGCUGCUGCUUCAGUUUCAACUGUUCUGCCUGCAGCUAUGGAACCCUGACCUGUUCACCGGACGUGCUGCCUUGUCCCGGACCUGCAAUUUUCGACCCUCUCUCUCUAC
rnacentral:lncRNA from 1 species